rnacentral:rRNA from 1 species
CACGUAGGGGGCGAGCGUUGUCCGGAAUCAUUGGGCGUAAAGAGCUCGUAGGCGGUUCGGUAAGUCGGGUGUGAAAACUCUGGGCUCAACCCAGAGAGGCCACCCGAUACUGCUGUGACUAGAGUGCGGUAGGGGAGCGGGGAAUUCCUGGUGUAGCGGUGAAAUGCGCAGAUAUCAGGAGGAACACCAGCGGCGAAGGCGCCGCUCUGGGCCGUAACUGACGCUGAGGAGCGAAAGCAUGGGUAGCAAACAGG